rnacentral:rRNA from 1 species
CAGUAGCCACGGGAAAACGAAGGGGGCUAGCGUUGCUCGGAAUGACUGGGCGUAAAGGGCGCGUAGGCGGUUUUGACAGUCAGAUGUGAAAUUCCUGGGCUUAACCUGGGGGCUGCAUUUGAGACGUCAAGACUAGAGUGUGAGAGAGGGUUGUGGAAUUCCCAGUGUAGAGGUGAAAUUCGUAGAUACUGGGAAGAACACCGGUGGCGAAGGCGGCAACCUGGCUCAUUACUGACGCUGAGGCGCGAAAGCGUGGGGAGCAAACAGGAUUAGAUACCCGCGUAGUCCCUGUCUCUUAUAC